GCUGAAAAGUCCAAAAUAGGAUGAAAUGCGCAUCCUGGAU
rnacentral:hammerhead_ribozyme from 1 species